GAAGGUGGCGGUGCGUAGGCGAUGGCAUCAUGGCUCUGUUCUGUGUGAGUCGACUUUCUUAGUGCAGCGCGUCUGUGGAGAACUGCAGGAACCUGACUGCCUGAGCUUUGUCUGUUGAUUUCAGGUCUAGGUUUGGGGAUGUCCUAGAGCACGCCUACACAUCGAGUACAACAGGUGCAUCUACUUUCAUUGACUUUUCAUGGUUAGAUGUCUCACGGCCUCCCCCAACCCUCCUGGAUCUAAGCACAUCCCUACAUUUUUCUGUCAAUGUUUUGGUGUUCUGGGUUUGAACCCAUAGCAGAGAUGAAGAUUUGUGGGGAUAACCUAUCUUUCCAUCUGUGCUAUGUAUUGAUGAACACACGUGAUAGGUACUUUUGUUAUGGCAAUGUAUUGAAAUUUGUGUAUCCAAAUUAAAUGUACCUUAAUUUCAGCCUUUUGCUUGCAAUCGUCUAUGUGAAUGAUAUGUGUUUUACGGGUGUAAAUUCAUUGUUCAUGGGGGAACUAUCGAUUUUGUGACUUUUUUUAGUUCUGUGAUACCAAUGGACAUUUUGGUUGCAUGUUUGUUACCGUCUAGGCUAAAUGGAUAAGAAGGUGCUUCACUGUUCAGGUUUUUUUAUUUAUAAAGUUGCUUCUUGACUAAUCUUAUCUAAUAGAUGUUGCAUUACAAGCAGACAGGAGUUGCAUCAGGAAGCAUUCAAUUUUUCCCUUCAAGUUGCAUCACCUGUUUUAUAAGUUGCAUGAUCAAGCCAACAUUAUAAGUUGCAUGAUUAAGCAUUCCCUUCGAAUUUCAAUUUGCAUCGCUGUCCAGGAUUUAACACGACACUUUUUAGAAGUUGCUGGACUAAUCAACGUAUUGGAUUAUAAGUUGUUGUACUAACUAAACUUGUUGAAUCAGAAGUGGCUAGACUAAGUAACUUUUUUGGAACAAUAAGUUCAUUUUCAUCCAAUCAAAAAUUUCAGAAAAAGCUGCAUUCCAACCAGCUUUUGAAUUAGAAGUUGUUAGACUAGUUAGUUAGUUUUUAAUAUAUAAGUUGCUUUCUGAUCUCUCAACCAUCGACUAGAAAUGCACUACAUUCAAAUUUUGAAGCAAUUAAGCAUUCAUUUGCCUUCAAUUUGUUAAUACGACUUGCUUCAUGUUUGUUGGUUAUAAGUCGCUUUAGAUUUUUGAAUAGGAAUUGGUCACCGAUUAGAUAAACCAUUGAGUAGAAGUUGCUUCAUGCUCAUGUGUGUCGAUUAUAAGUUGCCUUAGCUAAUCGAACACUAAGUUUUGACCUAAUAGGAGUUGAAUCAGCGGUUGGACAAAGUUUUGGCUAGCGAUUCCUUCACUGCGUAUGUUGUUAACUAUAAGUUGCUUUAGCUAACUAUUGACCAGGAGUUGCUUCACCGUACACCUUUUAGAUUAUAAGUUGCCUUAGCUAAUCGAAACUUUUUUUUGAAUAGCAGUUGCAUGAUUGAUUGUGCAAAUAAUCCACUAGAAGUUGCCCCCACUGUCCACUUCUUAGAUUAUAAGUUGCCUUAGUUAAUCGAGAGCUAUUUUUUAAAGCAGCAUGACUGAUUAAGCUAACGAUUGACCAUGAGUUGCUUCACCGUCUAUUUUUUGAAUUAUAAGCUGCCUUAUCUAAUUGAGCUAUAUUUGAAUAGUGAUACAUGACUGGUUAGGCAAACCAUUGACUCGUAGUUGCUUCACUCAUUCUUUUUUCUAGACUAUAAACUGCCUUCGCUAAUCAACCUGUUUUAAUUGAAGUUGCAUGACUUAUUACUUUAUUAGGCAGAUUAUUGACUAGGAGUUGCUUUACUAUUGUUUUUUUCUAGAUUAUAAGUUGCCUUUCGACGGACUGGACUAUUUUCUGGAUAGGUAUGGCAUGACCAAUUAGGCAAAUUAGUGACUAGGAGUUGCUCCACUUCUUCGUUUUGUAUUACAUCGCCCUUUUUUGCAUGACCAGUUAGCCAAAUUAGCGACUGGGUGUUUCUAGCAAUGCAUGAAAAAUUGACAACUAUUUAGCAAAUUACAUCUCCUUCUUUUCUUGUAUAGGUGUUUUUGCCAAGGAUUUGUACAAAUGAUAUGAGUAACAUGAAGCAAAAUCAGAAGAUGUACUACACGAUAUGAAACAAUGCUCAUAUUAACCCAUCAGUACAUGUGUUUUUCGGUGUUCUUUUUGCCAAGGAACAAAGCUGUGGCGGGCACAUCAUGUGACCAGAAAGUCCACAGUAUGUAGUAAUGUUUCUUCUUUGUAGCUUCCAGCAACAGGUUAAUGCUUUUGCUUGUAAAAGGGGAGGGUCCACGGACAGUUCAGGGACUGCCUUUUGGUUUUGUAGUGAACAUAUCAAAGCACCAUAAGAUGCAUCUUUUAUUUUUCUGAUCAAAGGGUCUGCAACACUAAAUUUUCUCUUAAUUUGCUUUUGCUGACUCAAAUUUCU
rnacentral:lncRNA from 1 species